AUUGAACGCUGGCGGCAGGCCUAACACAUGCAAGUCGAGCGGAGCUGCGGACGGGUGCGCAAUGCCUCGGAAUCUGCCUGGUAGUGUGGGAUCACGUCCGGAAACGGGCUCUAAUACCGCAUACUAUCAGAUGAGCCCAGGUCGGCUUAGCUAGUUGGUGGGGUAAAGGCCUACCAGGGGGACGAUCCGUACAUGGUCUGAGAGGAUGGUCAGUCACACUGGAACGGAGACACGGUCCAGACUCCGACGGUAGGCAGCAGUGGGGAAUAGUGGACAAUGGGCGAAAGCCUGGUCCAGCCAUGCCGCGUGUGUGAAGAAGGUCUUCGGAUUGUAAAGCACUUUAAGUUGGGAGGCGUUACCAACAGAAUAAGCACCGGCUAACUUCGUGCCAGCAGCCGCGGUAAUAC
rnacentral:rRNA from 1 species